UGCCUAAUACAUGCAAGUCGUGCGGCAGCGAGUCUCUCACUGUCUGCUUGAUUUUAUAUCGAGCAAAGAGUGAGAGAUGUCGGCGAGCGGCGGACGGCUGAGUAACGCGUAGGAAUCUACCCCAAAGUGAGGGAUAACUCCGGGAAACCGGAGCUAAUACCGCAUGUGGUCCUCGGAUUAAAGGAUUUAUCCGCUUUGGGAAGAGCCUGCGUUCGAUUAGCUAGUUGGUGAGGUAAUAGCUCACCAAGGCGACGAUCGAUAGCUGGUCUGAGAGGAUGAUCAGCCAGACUGGAACUGAGACACGGUCCAGACUCCUACGGGAGGCAGCAGUAAGGAAUAUUUCACAAUGGGCGAAAGCCUGAUGAAGCAACGCCGCGUGCAGGAUUAAGGCCCUCGGGUCGUAAACUGC
rnacentral:rRNA from 1 species